GUAGGUGGCAAGCGUUGUCCGGAAUUAUUGGGCGUAAAGCGCGCGCAGGCGGUUCUUUAAGUCUGAUGUGAAAGCCCACGGCUCAACCAUGGAGGGUCAUUGGAAACUGGAGAACUUGAGUACAGAAGAGGAAAGCGGAAUUCCACGUGUAGCGGUGAAAUGCGUAGAGAUGUGGAGGAACACCAGUGGCGAAGGCGGCUUUCUGGUCUGUAACUGACGCUGAGGCGCGAAAGCGUGGGGAGCAAACAGGAUUAGAUACCCUGGUAGUCCACGCCGUAAACGAUGAGUGCUAAGUGUUAGGGGGUUUCCGCCCCCCUUAGUGCUGCAGCUAACGCAUUAAGCACUCCGCCUGGGAGUACGGCCGCAAGGCUG
rnacentral:rRNA from 1 species